rnacentral:rRNA from 1 species
UACGUAGGGCGCAAGCGUUGUCCGGAAUUAUUGGGCGUAAAGAGCUCGUAGGCGGUCUGUUACGUCCGCUGUGAAAACCCGGGGCUUAACCCCGGGCUGGCAGUGGAUACGGGUAGACUAGAGGCAGGUAGGGGAGAAUGGAAUUCCCGGUGUAGCGGUGAAAUGCGCAGAUAUCGGGAGGAACACCGGUGGCGAAGGCGGUUCUCUGGGCCUGACCUGACGCUGAGGAGCGAAAGCGUGGGGAGCGAACAGG